UAUCUGGUUGAUCCUGCCAGUAGUCAUACGCUUGUCUUAAAGAUUAAGCCAUGCAUGUCUAAGUGCAGUGUACUCUUACACACUAGACUGCGGACGGCUCAUUAUAACAGUUAUAGUUUAUUUGAUGGUUUUUUUUCCGUGGAUAACCGUGGUAAUUCUAGAGCUAAUACAUGCUAAUAUCGCUGCCGUUUACGCUGGCGAGCAUUUAUUAGAUACCAGAAUCAGCGGGCUUCGGCUCUGCUUGAGGACUCAUAAUAACUGAAGAGAUCGGACAUUGUCCGGCGUAUCAUUCAAGUUUCUGACCUAUCAGUUAGUCGGUAGUGUAUUGGACUACCGAGGCAUUGACGGGUAACGGAGAAUUAGGGUUCGAUUCCGGAGAGGGAGCCUGAGAAACGGCUACCACAUCUAAGGAAGGCAGCAGGCGCCGUAAAUUACCCAAUCCUGACUCAGGGAGGUAGUGACAAGAAAUCACAAUAUUUGGCUCGUUAGGGUUAAAUAAUUGUAUUGAGAACAGGCUAAACAUGUUAACGAUAAACCAUUGGAGGGCAAGUCUGGUGCCACAGCCGCGGUAAUUCCAGCUCCAAUAGCCGUAUACUAACGUUGGUGCAGUUAAAAAGCUCGUAUUGGAUUUUUAAGGAUGUCUGCUUCUAGUGGCCUUUCGGUCUCUAAGGUGUAACUCCCUUAUUUUGGCUCGGGCCUGGUUGGGAUUCGUUUCUCGAUCAGGCUUUCAGGGCGUG
rnacentral:rRNA from 1 species